CAGGUCGACUCUAGAGGAUCCCACGAGCAGGUAAAGACACGCAAAGAGAAAGAGGACUUGGGGUUGUCAGGGGCUGGGUGAGGAGGGAGAGGAGUGCAUG
rnacentral:miRNA from 1 species